rnacentral:lncRNA from 1 species
AUGCACCCUUGCCGGGCCAGAACCAGCACCGGUCACAUAACUGGCAGGGCCCCGAUUCAACAACACCGACAAAUUUCGAGCCCGCAACUAGGCAGCUUGGGCGGUUCUGACAGCCAACCAUGCACGUGGCGAGAACCAGCUGGGGUGAGCCCGGCCCUACUCUCUCUCAUCCCUGCCGGCAUCAGGAUGGAGCUCCCGCCGUGCACCACGCUCCACAGAGGUCCUGAGAGCCGUGCUGGCCCUGCACGGCUCCCCGCACCCCAGUCUCCAACACCCGCCCAGCCCAGAGCGUGGAGGCCCCGAGCCGGAGCUGCACUGCUGCCCGCCAGGCUCCUCCCCCGUGAGCCCGGCGCUGUGGCCUCAAACGCCCUCUUGGGCGUCCCCAGAGCCGAGGGGCACGAAGCCCCAUUGCUUGUUGCUCGUCUGUCCUGGCCCCAGGCCUCUUCCACUCCCGCUGCGGUCACACCCGGGAGGCUGGGAGCCACAGUGCCUCGGCUGAGACACAGGCUCGCCCUGGAAGGCCCCCCCCACCCUCGCCCCCCAGUCCUCGUCUUUUUGUCUCGGUCGCUCGGUUUGGCUCUGGGACGUGAUACAAAAGGAAUUGCAGAAUUGCACAGGAUGUGCUCUCUCUGGUCUGGCUUCUUUCCGCGCCACCCCCCCGGCCCCCCCAGGCCUCUGCCCUGGCGUGGGGAGCUGGGAGCUCCCUGGCCCCGUCCUGCCCCCCCCCCCGCCCCCGCAGAGCUCUGUCCCGACUUCCGGUUUCCUUCGCAGCCCGGGUCAGGGCUCAGAGCGCUCAGCAGGUCACCCUUGGCACUCAGGAGGCUGCACUGCGUCCCGGGAGCCCACCAGCCCCGGUACUGCCCAGGCUGCCAGCCACUGCCAGCCCUGGCCUGGGCACCGCGAGCCAGAGACCACCAGCACUCCUCUUCCAGCUGCUGGCGUGGGGGUGGGUGGGGCUUAGUACAGCCGAGUCCUCCUAUAACCUCUCAGUGCGGGGCCCCAGAGCAGCAGCACCAGCCACGGGAGGCUCAGAAAUGCAAGCGCCUGUUCCCCUCCCCCACCCCCAGGGGCUGA